rnacentral:tmRNA from 1 species
CUACUGGAAAUCCCUUGCGUGAUCGCCUAUAUCAACACUGCCGGGUUCGCCCGGAUAUGAGGAUAAAUUGCGGCGUGUAAUAGAUGCAGCGGACCCGGGGGCGGUACCCGGCGGCUCCACCAAAACUCCCGGUUCGCCGGGAGCCUUGACGGGGCCGAACUAGGAUCGACGUGUGUUGAAAAGCGCUGUUUUCUUCCGGCCUGAAUGCGCCGUAAAACCGUUCAAAACCCAAUAAGUGCCAACGACAACGAAGCACUUGCUCUUGCUGCGUAACUGAAGGGCGCAAGCCUUAGGUUACCCAAAAAGAACGCGGUUCGGACUGAACCGGGCAACAGAAUCAGAAACCA